GUGCAUGGCCGUUCUUAGUUCGUGGAGUGAUCUGUCUGCUUAAUUGCGUUUCAAAACAACUGAUACACAGAGUCUUGGCACAGUUCAGUUUAAUGGCGUCGAGUAUCUUUGAUUUCGACAGUAGUCCAACUCGGUUCGCCAGGGUCUCUUUUGAACGCAACGGACGUGAUCGCAACCCUUUGUUGAGUGAUGUCAGCACUCUACGUCUAUCCUAGCUCGUUGAUCGCAAGUGAGAGUUGGGUGGGCAAACUCAGGGGACAGCUUCAACUAUUCUUCUUCAAACUAGAGGAAGGUUGCGGCAAUAACAGGUCUGUGAUGCCCUCAGAUGUUCUAGGCUGCACACGUGCUACAUUGAUCAGCACAAUGCGAUACAUUUCGAAAGGAAACAUCGGUUUUAAGGUAACGUCGAUUGCCUACCGAUAGCACCUGGUCCCCAGUGGACUGGGCAAUCUCUUCUAAAUGCUGGUAAGGUACCCACACUCGAGCUAUUUAAUCACACGCGGGAGGCACACACGGUUCAAAUCUCAUUUGCGACUGUUGCCGCCAUGACGUAUGCAACUUGUCAAUUCUUCGUGGGGAUCGUCGAUUGCAACUAUUCGACUCGCCACAACUAGGAAU
rnacentral:rRNA from 1 species